UAGUUCGUGGAGUGAUCUGUCUGCUUAAUUGCGUUUCAAAAUUUAAACCUGAGCGACAAGGUGCUGCUAUCGAAACUGUCUUUGAGUGUGAACUAUAAGUCUUUUGACUUAUGACCAUCACUCUAGACGUUUAUGUUUUGGUGUUGGCCCUUGAUGCUCAUUUGAACGCAACGGACGUGAUUGCAACCCCUUGUUGAGAUUUAUCCGAUCUCUACGUUCACUGAACCACACUCUUUAGCGAGAGCAGUGGGGAUGUGGAUAAACUCGGGGGACUGCUGACUAUAAACUUUUCUCAAACCAGAGGAAGGUUGCGGCAAUAACAGGUCUGUGAUGCCCUCAGAUGUUCCGGGCUGCACACGUGCUACAUUUAGUAGCGCAGUGUGCACAUUAAUAGAGUGAUAGGUUCCGUGGUUUGUACAUUUUAAGGGCUCGUCCUAGUAACCAAAGCUCCACGGGACAUAUCAACCUUCCCCUUACAGGGCGGGUAACCUCUUCGAAGUGCUGGCAUGAUUUCCCUAGUUUUGGCAUUUGAAUCCUUGUCGCAGCAGCCCUGAGACGUAGUGAACGCUGCAAAGUGAUUCCAGUCUUAGGUUUGCGACACAUGCAAUUCCUGGUUGACUCAUCGUGGGGA
rnacentral:rRNA from 1 species